CCAGACUCCUACGGGAGGCAGCAGUGGGGAAUAUUGCACAAUGGGGGAAACCCUGAUGCAGCGACGCCGCGUGAGUGAAGAAGUAUUUCGGUAUGUAAAGCUCUGUCAGCAGGGAAGAAAAUGACGGUACCUGACCAAGAAGCCCCGGCUAACUACGUGCCAGCAGCCGCGGUAAUACGUAGUGGGCAAGCGUUAUCCGGAUUUACUGGGUGUAAAGGGAGCGUAGACGGCAGGGCAAGUCUGGAGUGAAAGGCGGGGGAUCAACCCCCGGACUGCUCUGGAAACUGCCAGGCUGGAGUGCAGGAGAGGUAAGUGGAAUUCCUAGGGUAGCGGUGAAAUGCGUAGAUAUUAGGAGGAACACCAGUGGCGAAGGCGGCUUACUGGACUGUAACUGACGUUGAGGCUCGAAAGCGUGGGGAGCAAACAGGAUUAGAUCCCCCUGUA
rnacentral:rRNA from 1 species